GCCACAAAUAUAAACGGACAGUUCGUUAAACUGGAUAAGUUGUAACACAAACUCGCAAAUUUCGUUUGAUCAGGUUAUUUUCAUAAAAUAUUUCGAUACUUUCAAGUUUCAGCUCAUCGGAGUGAGAUGAUUAGAUAAAGAUGGAUGAAGAUAGCUGUUUCUUCGGCGAUGGCGGCACUCUAGCUACGUUUCACCGGAAGAGUAGAUGUUUAUGCUUCUGGCUGUAUUCUGGAGCGUUUCCUCAUGGGCGUCGCAGUUCACACACGUCACGGAUUCCGCCGAAGGAGUCGAUAAUUAAAACUGAACUUUUGGAUCGGAGAUAUGAAGACGCGCGCUGCAUUUUCCUUGGCGGAGAUGCACAGCUUUGACACUAGACAAUAUUAUACACUCGAAGGGAACGCGUUUCGCCGGAAGAAUAAAUAAUUACAUAUGGCAUUCGUCAGUGAACAUUUUCAAACUGGGAAUAAUAUAUCAUAAGCCGAUUGAAAUGUGUGAACGUUUCAGUGUUUCGAAGACUAAGUUUCGUAGCAGAUUUUGAUUCCGUCACGGGGUAUGUAUUUUCUUAUUUCUCAGUAGGUUUUUUUUUAUUAUAGUUAAUUGAUCAGGGGAUGUAAUGCCUGAAAAUUUUCAAUAUUUGUAUUGUAACUAUACUGGUAUAACACUAUUCGGGCUAUCAAUAAAGUCGUGUUCAAAAUUAGAAAAUUGGUGAGGUAUGAUAUUUUUUUAAGCAAUUGUUUCGAGUAGGGAAUUCGCUCAUUGAUAUUUUAAUAUUUUCACCGAUAAUCAAGUACGAUGACUUGUAGGUAACUAGAGACUGAGUGAAUAGGAAUUAGGAAGUGUGUGAUAUGGCGAAGAUAAGGAAAUGGGUCAACAAGAUUUCAGAAUGUUUGGUGUAUGAAAGGGAAAGAUGAAAAAGAAAUGUAAGGUUAGGGUAGGUAAGUGGAGUGAGAGUAGCAGAUAUGAGAAUAAUAAGUAAGGUGUUAAGGUACAAAAGAGGAUAGAAUAAGAAAUUAAUUAAUUAAGGGUAGUGUACAUAUUGUAGUGAAAACAAGAGAGAAUAGGUUUAGGUGGUUCGGUCACUGUAUGAUAAGAGAUAGUGAGAGUGGCUAUAGAAGUUAAUUUAGGGGAGAAAUGAUGGACGAGAAGACUGAAGAAGAGGUGGAUAGACAGAAUACCGAUCAUAUGGAGGUGUGGAAUGAGAGUGGCUGAACCUGUAUAUAGCUGUGAGAGACGGGGGAAGAAAAAGUGUAAAGGUAGAAUAGUUAUGUUAACAAUGCCGAAUACGUAGGAAAAGAUCUUGAAUUGCAAAGGCCCUAUUGACUCUUUGGCUUCAACUAACCAUAGGUUUACCUAACUAACCUUCUUAUGACUCAUUAGGACAUUUUGAAUAAAAAGAUCCUGAGUCGCAGGUUGCCGAACUUAAGUGUUUGAUUAUCAAGUUGAUCCUUUAAUUGUUGACACCUUAAUCCAUGCUAUGGAUGAAGCCCAUAGAUAUAAAGAUAUGGAUAGUCCACGCCUAUGUUAAAUACAUUUGAGUCCGCGUUCCCGGACGGGAAGGCAAUUGAGCUUCUUUAUAUUGAUAGUCGAUAGUCGAUACUCGAUAUAAGUAUACUUUAUUUGGCCUCAAUUUAUUGUUCCCCUCGAAGACCGCUGAUAAGACCAUUAUGUCCUAUGCAUAUCUUUAUUAUCUAUGAUGGAGCCAUACCCAGCUCACUCGUGUAAACUUGUUGCCGGUUGGGAUGUCAGCGCACUAUUUGUUUUUCAUCUUUGACCCACGCGUACCAUACCAAAUGUACGAUUAAGAAAACACUAAAAUGAUUGGGUCAGAGAGAGAAAUAAAUGGUGCGCUAAAAAUCUGACAUCCUCUUAGUGUUAUCAAGUUGAAGAAGCAGUUGAUUGUUGACAAUUUGACAUUUAACAUUAACUGUGGUAGGUAUUAUGAUUGGAAGUAAAAGUAAUUAGCAGGGCUGUGAAUUUAAUGCAAUGAAAAAGUGUUAAAUAUUUGCCUGCAUGUAUGCACUAAAAACAGACAAAUAUAUGCACUGAAAUAUUCAAAAGUAUGCACUUAAAAUUCAAAAAAAUACUGAAUGAAAACGUUUUUAUUAACAUUUUUUUAAAUUAAUAAAUUAUAAUUCAAAUUGGUUUACAAAAAAAAUUCUUUAUUUACACACUUGGUAGGUAGGUAUGUAGGUAGGUAACGGAUGAACCGAAAAUAUAAAAACAUUUUAAGAAAAUAAGCAUAAAUACAAAGAAAUCAUGAAAACAUGCAAUUAUAUUAACUAACCAAAAAAAAAAAAAACGCAUAUUGGUAACGGUGUUGUAAUAAUAGGGAUCUCCCAAAAAAAAUACGUACUAAUUGUUCAAACAAAUCAUAAAAGCCAACUGUAAUAAAUAUUAAUUUAUGAAAAAGUAUAUUAAAAAGCAUUAUUAUUAUAAAUGAUACAAAACUAUGAACUAUGGACCGUGACAUAAUAUAGGUAUUUCUAUAUUUUUAGCUCCAUAAUUUCUGUUAAAAUAUUAGGAAAAUGUAUUAAGUACCAUAAAAGUGCUAAAUUUGAGCUAUUACUUAAAAUAUUAUAUUCAUAACAAAUUAUCAUAGAAGGUUAGGUACUGUUAUUCCACAUACUUAUUAUACUUUUAUUUUAAUUUAACUACAACAUUCUAGUAGAGUCUGAUAAAAUUUGGUUCCACGACUUUGAUCAUACAAACUUUAAAUACUAAACUAUAGGUCUGAAAUUUAGUUUAUAUAAAUGUAAAUAAUCCAAAACAUAUAUUGCUUCAAAAUAUAAAAAUAAAGUGUCUUGUAUUGUAGUAGGUGGGUAACUUUCAAAAAAAAAAAACUAAAAAAAAUCAUACUUGAAAUCUAUGUACAAUAUACGUAUAUUGAUAUAAAAAAUUAACUUUAAAGUUCAAUAUAAUACAUUAUAACAGGUGUUCAAAUAAACAUUUCAUACCAAAAAUUUUGUUAAUUCACACAAUCUCUCUUCAAUUUUAAAUUUUUCUUCAAAUUAUCUACAAAAUAUAAAUGUUUAGUAAAUUGGAAGACUUGAUUAAGUAUUUAAUCAUUUAUCUAAAAUAGAUGUGCCAGGUCGCCACAUUACUAUAUCGAAGGACCAUGGUGCAAGUGUCGUCCAUAAAUAUCAUAACAUAUAUUAUAUUAGAAAUACAAACUUAAUAUUUCACUAACAGUAAAUAUUAUAAAAAAAUAUUACGAAAUGUACUAUACUCAUAUUAUAUUAUGAUUGUAUUAGUUACAAACUCUUGAAUUAAGAGUUAUGUUUGAGGAUUUAAUUAAUUUCCUAAAAGGUUGCCUAAGUAAGUUGUGGGACCUGUAAUGAAACGCAAUUGGUUGGUAAUAAAUUGUUUUUAUUUAUUGAAAUAUCAUGUUUUGAACCAAUAUCAUCAUCUUAGUUUUGUAUAAUUCAAAUGUUUUGUAUAACAAUAUUUUAUAAAUUAUUUUAAUUAUACUCAUUAGAGUGUACAAUAAAAAUAUUUAAUGGGGUUACAUAAAGGGGUGGGAAUGCGAACAUAUAACUCACAGUUUUGUUCGGUAGCUGGUGAAGUAUGCUCUGCUCUCGAUGGCGGCGUACUUUCAAUAACAACGGCUCGUACAGUGGCACGGUAACACUUUAUAGUGACUUACCGGCGUGGACGGUGAAUGGGGUGUAAAUGAGGACGGCGGUUAGGUUGGCUCGGCGUUCUCGACUCGCUCAAUUGAGUAUAGCGAUCGGUCGGCGGCGGCGAUGGCUCGGCGUUCUCGACUCGGCUGACGGAUUGACUACUGCGGUGCUUGGUAUUGGUCGUCUCACAGAGUGUACGUAGAGCAACGAGCGACCACAGCACACUUUUUCAGAGCGCACGGUCGUUCGGAGCGGAAAGGGAAAGCCGGGACAGACUAUUGAGCAUCCGUGUAUAACGAUGUUUUACUAUCGUCCGGCUCACUAAUAUACCGCACUCAGCGGGGAAAUUGUUGUUAUGGGCGUGUUUCUGGCUGGUACUUAUCAUAGUCAUGACUUUCACGGGAUGCAUAAAACUCAUUAGAGUGUACAAUACAAAUAUUUAAUGGGGUUACAUAAAGGGGUGGGAAUGCGAACAUAUAACUCACAGUUUUGUUCGGUAGCUGGUGAAGUAUGCUCUGCUCUCGAUGGCGGCGUACUUUCAAUAACAACGGC